rnacentral:rRNA from 1 species
AUACGUAGGGGGCGAGCGUUGUCCGGAAUGAUUGGGCGUAAAAGGCGCGUAGGCGGCCCGGUAAGUCUGGAGUGAAAGUCCUGUUUUUAAGAUGGGAAUUGCUUUGGAUACUGUCGGGCUUGAGUGCAGGAGAGGUAAGUGGAAUUCCCAGUGUAGCGGUGAAAUGCUUAGAGAUUACACAGAACACCGAUUGCGAAGGCAUCUCACGAAGGGUUAAUUGACGCUGAGGCACGAAAGCGUGGGGAUCAAACAGGAUUAGAUACCCUGGUAGUCCACGCAGUAAACGAUGAUGGCUAACCGCUGGAUCCAGCGGUUCAGUGGCCAAGCGAAAGCGAUAAGCCAUCCACCUGGGGAGUACGGCCGCAAGGUUGAAACUCAAAUGAAUUGACGGGG